rnacentral:rRNA from 1 species
CAGUCGCCGCGGGAAUACGAAGGGUGCAAGCGUUACUCGGAAUUACUGGGCGUAAAGCGUGCGUAGGUGGUGGUUUAAGUCCGUUGUGAAAGCCCUGGGCUCAACCUGGGAAUUGCAGUGGAUACUGGGUCACUAGAGUGUGGUAGAGGAUAGUGGAAUUUCCGGUGUAGCGGUGAAAUGCGUAGAGAUCGGGAGGAACAUCAGUGGCGAAGGCGGCCAUCUGGGACAACACUGACGCUGAGGCACGAAAGCGUGGGGAGCAAACAGGAUUAGAUACCCGAGUAGUCCCUGUCUCUUAUAC